rnacentral:rRNA from 1 species
GGAGGAAAAGAAACCAACAGGGAUUGCCUUAGUAACGGCGAGUGAAGCGGCAAAAGCUCAAAUUUGAAAUCUGGCACCUUCGGUGUCCGAGUUGUAAUUUGAAGAAGGUAACUUUGGAGUUGGCUCUUGUCUAUGUUCCUUGGAACAGGACGUCACAGAGGGUGAGAAUCCCGUGCGAUGAGAUGCCCAAUUCUAUGUAAAGUGCUUUCGAAGAGUCGAGUUGUUUGGGAAUGCAGCUCUAAGUGGGUGGUAAAUUCCAUCUAAAGCUAAAUAUUGGCGAGAGACCGAUAGCGAACAAGUACAGUGAUGGAAAGAUGAAAAGAACUUUGAAAAGAGAGUGAAAAAGUACGUGAAAUUGUUGAAAGGGAAGGGCUUGAGAUCAGACUUGGUAUUUUGCGAUCCUUUCCUUCUUGGUUGGGUUCCUCGCAGCUUACUGGGCCAGCAUCGGUUUGGAUGGUAGGAUAAUGACUAAGGAAUGUGGCUCUACUUCGGUGGAGUGUUAUAGCCUUGGUUGAUACUGCCUGUCUAGACCGAGGACUGCGUCUUUUGACUAGGAUGUUGGCAUAAUGAUCUUAAGCCACCCGU